rnacentral:rRNA from 1 species
UAGAGUUUGAUCCUGGCUCAGGAUGAACGCUAGCUACAGGCUUAACACAUGCAAGUCGAGGGGCAGCAUGGUCUUAGCUUGCUAAGGCCGAUGGCGACCGGCGCACGGGUGAGUAACACGUAUCCAACCUGCCGUCUACUCUUGGACAGCCUUCUGAAAGGAAGAUUAAUACAAGAUGGCAUCAUGAGUCCGCAUGUUCACAUGAUUAAAGGUAUUCCGGUAGACGAUGGGGAUGCGUUCCAUUAGAUAGUAGGCGGGGUAACGGCCCACCUAGUCUUCGAUGGAUAGGGGUUCUGAGAGGAAGGUCCCCCCACAUUGGAACUGAGACACGGUCCAAACUCCUACGGGAGGCAGCAGUGAGGAAUAUUGGUCAAUGGGCGAGAGCCUGAACCAGCCAAGUAGCGUGAGGGAUGACUGCCCUAUGGGUUGUAAACUUCUUUUAUAAAGGAAUAAAGUCGGGUAUGCAUACCCGUUUGCAUGUACUUUAUGAAUAAGGAUCGGCUAACUCCGUGCCAGCAGCCGCGGUAAUACGGAGGAUCCGAGCGUUAUCCGGAUUUAUUGGGUUUAAAGGGAGCGUAGAUGGAUGUUUAAGUCAGUUGUGAAAGUUUGCGGCUCAACCGUAAAAUUGCAGUUGAUACUGGAUAUCUUGAGUGCAGUUGAGGCAGGCGGAAUUCGUGGUGUAGCGGUGAAAUGCUUAGAUAUCACGAAGAACUCCGAUUGCGAAGGCAGCCUGCUAAGCUGCAACUGACAUUGAGGCUCGAAAGUGUGGGUAUCAAACAGGAUUAGAUACCCUGGUAGUCCACACGGUAAACGAUGAAUACUCGCUGUUUGCGAUAUACGGCAAGCGGCCAAGCGAAAGCGUUAAGUAUUCCACCUGGGGAGUACGCCGGCAACGGUGAAACUCAAAUGAAUUGACGG